rnacentral:tRNA from 1 species
AGCGGGGUGGGGUAGCCAGGAGAACCCGCUGGGCUCAUAACCCAGAGAUCGGUUGUUCAAAUCAACCCCCCGCUACCA